AGGAGAGGCGCCCCCACCAUUUGGUGGCUCCUGUCCGGAACCAAUGCCAUCUUGAACCUGAAUAAAGGUAAGCAAAGAUUUUGAUUUUGUUAUGAGCUCCCUUGCCGGCUGCAGCAUUGUUUUUGCCCGUAAUUCUGCGCGCGAAGAUCCGAACGAAGACGACGGAGUCGUAAGCAUUUAAGGCGUGUACCGUUCGGUUGGGUGGGAUUCGGUUGCCUGUGUGUGUGUAAGAGUGUGACUGAGACGGAACGUAGUUCCGAAGCGAGUGCGGAGGUCUUCUAACCGAUAAGCAAAUACUGGGACGUUUGCAUGCACAAACACAUUGGGGUACAAAGGUGUUAAGUGAUCAUUUACUAAAACAAUUUGGUUGCAUUGUUUGUUUUUGAAAUAGCAAAGCAAAUUACACCACGUUGCUUAACUUGUCAGAAGAUAAAUAAGAAAGUGUUUUGACAAGCAGCCGCGGGAGGGAGAAAAACAGCUUAUAGGCCUUUCGAGAGGGUACAAGUUGGUUUCACUGAAUUGCCCCAGGAGCUGGAUCACCCCGACAGGCUGAACUGAAUGGUAACACAAGCCCCAAUCGACCCUGAAAGCGGGCCCAACCCCUUGAUUGAAGGCGUCUUGCCUAUUAUGAUCUGUGAGGAAUGUUUUAACAAUUCGUGUCAAUGGAGAGCUUGAAGGAAAAUGUAU